UGCCCACAACUGACUGAGGCUUGACUGCCUCUAAGACCAUGUCCCCUUUGCAAGAGGGAAGGCCAUUGGAAAAGUGAGUGUCCCAGGCUCCAAAGGGAACCCAGUGCCUCCAAACCAAUGAUGGCUGAAACACUGGAGAAUUGAUGGUGUCUGAGGCCUCCUACCACCCCCCCAACCAUUUGACCAUCACGCCAGGGGAGCCUUGGGUGACCCUUGACAUGACAGGUAAGCCCAUUACACUUCUAUUAGACACGGGGCUGCUUGGUUUGCUGACUCACUCUCCAGGGCCUCUUUCUCCCAAAACCUGUUUGAUCACUAGGGUAAAUGGCAUCCUCAACGCUACCAUUUCACUCACCCCUGGGCUGCAGCCUCGGGAACCUCACUGUAGUCAUGCCUUUCUUGUAGUUCUGGUGCCCCAUUCCCUUAUAGGGAGGAAUAUCUUGUCUGGGAACUACCAUAACCCAAGGAGUAUUAGCCACAGAAGACAGUGAACCCUCAUUGUUAUGCCUGAUAGCCAAUCUAACUUCUCACCCUGAACCACAAAUUAAUAAUAUCCCUCCUCUUCCAAGUCAACCCCAAGUUAUGGGAAACUAGAACACUGGGCAGGGCAAUAAAUGUACCCCGUCAAGAUAUCUCUAAAACCAGGGGUACCCACCCUAACAAAAGAUAAUACACUCUAAAACUUGAGGCCAUAAAAAAGGGUCAAACUGACAGGGGCAAUUAUAAUUUCCAAAGAUUGAGCACCUGAAUUAAUCUUAAAUAUAAUUAUAUUACUUACAUUGUAGCACACAUAUACGUAAGCAGGGAUUUAAGGGUUUUUUUUCCUUAGGCUUCUUUCUCCUAGGCCUUUGCACCCUGUACUCCCCUUGAUCCUAGACUGAAGCAAUUAAGGAGGUGGCAGCUGUGAACAAUGGGUUAAGAGAUUACCCUAUCAAGAGCAAGACGCAUGGUCAGGCCGACCUCACAGUCAAGAUAUCACCUUAUCGAGACAUUGCCAGGUGACCAAGAUCAAAAGAAUGACUUCCAGGACUGCCCGUAGAUGCAUUCCAUUCCCAGCCUCAGUUUACCCCAUUUCCCUACAUAACCCGAUCCCUCAGGCCACUCGUGUGCUCCCUCGUCUUGGUCGGCGGCCUGCUCAAUAAGGUCGGCGGCCUUAUAGGAUUUGACCCGGCCUCCGCUGAACUGGACACAGCGACACGCAGCCCGAGCCCACCGGGGUGUCCCGGUACCAUAUUUUGGCGACUCCGCCGGGACCCUGCUCUGAGCCCUAAGCUGCCGAGUGACAACGCGGGGACCUUAAGCGCUUCCGAGCCUCCCAGCCGCCUGCCGUCGGCUGGCUCUGCGGUCUGCGCCUGUUCCCAUCCGACCUGUCCGUCCCGGGCAUGAGACUCAAAAGAACGGAUUUGAGUCCGACCGGGUGUGGCUCAGCGGUUGAGCGUCAACCUAGGAUCCAGGCGAUCGGGGUUCAGUUCCCGGUCGGGGCACA